AAUUAUUUUAGGAGUGCUUUGCCAUAGUUUAAAGCUUGGAAGGGAGCUUUCUAUGAUUUAUUUUUCUGACUGUUUCGUCACAUGUUCUUUCCCUAGAUGAAAGUAUUGAUUUAUUUUUGGUUCUGCAGGAUCAUUGCGUCUCUGCGAGCUAAUCAGUUCUGUGAGCGUCUCCCUAGCCCCAAUGGCGAGUCAACUGUUGAUUGCCAUCAGAUCUCAAAGAUGCCAAAUCUUGCAUUCACCAUAGCAAACAAUACUUUCACCUUAACACCAGAGCAGUACAUAGUGAAGUUGGAGCAAGCAGGACAAACUAUCUGCAUCAGUGGGUUUAUGGCAUUUGACGUAGCGCCUCCUCGUGGUCCUCUCUGCUACGCUGAACAUAUCUGUACUACUCUUAAGUGUGCAACGAGGGCGUCCACCGAGGGCAUCACCGUGCCCCCGCUCGCCCCCUCCACGCCCGCGCCUGUCUGCGUCUGCCCCCUUCGUCUCCCCGCAACGGCCGCGUCCCCACCCCAGAUUUCCGCGCUCGUGAGAGCCGCCCAGAGAUUGCUCCCCUGGUCCCCCCUCUACCCCCGGCCCUACCCCCGUCCUCCCGACACGAACCCCACACACACAUUUGCUUCGCCCACCCACAUUUGUGACCCCCGCCCCGCAGCCCCUGCCCCAGCACAGGUCCGUGACCGCCGCCCCAUCUUCCACCCCACACCCCUUCUUCGUAUCUGCGUUCGCCAUGCCCCGCGCCAUCUAGCCACCUCCUCCCACCUCGCGCAUGGCGCUCCCGGCGAAUCAGCCCCCAUCACCCCCCGCCAUGCCCAUGUAUGCGCUCCCGACAACUUCAUGCCCACCCAGGAUCCUAUGCCCAAGGGUGCCGCCAACCGAUGACAGAGCAUUCUUUGUCGACAGAAGCGCCACAAGGAUGACGGCGGAGAGGGUGAUCCUGCAGACCCGCGACGACGUCAUCUAUGGGGUCUUCACGGAGGGCGGCACCGCAAUGAUGGCGGCGAGGAGGCCGACCUCACCAAGCCCAUCCAGUUCAUCUCCACCAGCAAGUUCACCCUGCAGAUUUCCAUCUCCAACACGUCGGCGAAGAAGAAGCUCUACGGUCUGGAGGAGUAAACCCUGCUCGUUGUCUCGCGUCGGUUGCUUGGUGCGCGGUCGAGAUCUGGGCAGAGAUCUAGGGCGCCGGCCAUGGCGAGCUUUGGACUCGCCUACCCCAUGUCUACGACGACAACCACGUGCGUCCUGCCCAGUCCGAUCUGCUCAGUUUCGCCAUCCCGCUUGUUUCGUGUUUGUUUCUUUGGUGGAGUUUUGAUCGAGUGUUUGCUUUUUCUUGCAUGCAAAAGCAUCGCCACAAGAGUUUGUUCUGGUGCUCACAUUGGCAAGUGUGGAACUUUCACCACAGGUUAAACAUGAAGAUAGUGAUCACCGUGCCCCCGCGAGAUCCAGGCGGAGAUCUAGGGCGUCGGCCAUGGCGAGCUUUGGACUCGCCUACCCCAUGUCUACGACGACAACCAGGUGCGUCCUGUCCGGUCCGAUCUGCUCAGUUUCUCACAUUGACACGAGGUCGGUAAUACUGACUCUUCUUAUUAGAGGGGAGGGUAGUGCAUAGCUUGGGCUGCAUCUUUAGAAUGUUGCCUUCCCUAAUAACAUGGCUGAUAUUGAUCUUUGGGAAGAGAUCAUUGUCUUCAUGUUUAACCUGUGGUGAAAGUUCCACACUUGCCAAUAAGAAGCAUGUUUCUUUAGGUUAAAGUGAACUGAAUACAAGGGAUGAAUGGAAUGCUUGCAGAGUUGUAUCAUAAGUGGUCUCUCGGCGUGUCGAUGUAAUGCACAUUAUUAACUAAUUUAAUAAUUUUAUAUGGAAUAAAACUAGGUCCAUGUAGUGUACAAUGCAUUCUCAUAAAUAUCGCAUAUACUUGAAUUGCAUAUUCCACACCUGAGACCCGCUGAGUCCAAGAGGUCCAAGUUGUCAAGGAAUUGAAGAACUGAACUGUCCAAAUGGUGUUCUGUCUAGUACUGCAGUUAAAAAGAGCUGUGAAACUGAAGAACUGUUAGCCAUGUCACAAAUCCAAAACUGUUAAACAACAGUUGUAUGUGUUGGACAAUCCAUCCAUCGAUCAGGAAACCAUACCAGGAUCUAUUGAACCAGCAGUUUUCGCGAUUGAGGUGUCAUAUUCCAAAGAAGCUUUAUUUGCACGAAACGAACAGACAGUUGCAUAGAUGGAGCUUUUGAUGGUAAGGACUGAGGAGGCAGCAGCCCACACCUAUGAUCUUGCAGCGCUCAAGUACAGGGAAUCAGACUGCAAACUCAACUUCCCAGUAUGGUUAGAGUGAUGGUUACCUAGCUUAGAAGAAGGACAUUGACACAACAAGGAUAGUUAUCUUGGGAAGAUGUGCUGUUGGACAAGUGUGAUCUGUGUUUUUUAUCUGUGCUGCACCGUGGACUACAAUGUGGAUGAAUGCAGACUAUACCACUCUCGUUGAUUCUAUCGCCACCUCGGAGCAAACAGGUGGUGAAACCGAGACCACCUUGGAGAAAAUAGGUGGUGAAAUUGCAGACACCUUGGAGCAAACAGGUGGAAAAACUGAAGAACUAGCCUUCGAUCCAAAGCAUCAUCUUCGCGCAAUGGCGUUGCGCGCCGCAGAGUUCUCCUUCGAGCCGGGACUCUCCCGUGCCGCCAAACCUCGAUGGGGAUGUCGUGCCCAUGGCGGUGGGAUGACCGCUUCCUUCGUGAGUGGUGAGUCAGUAGCAGUACUAUGUAUUUUAUCAAUAUAUUGUGCCAGUGCUGUAUUGACUAACAAAUAACAAACAAUGAAGAUAUAGAGCUGUAUUGUAAGAAAUUACAGAUUUUAUAAAAUGUUCACAAAAUUAGAA